rnacentral:rRNA from 1 species
AGUGAGCGCUGUCGGUAGGCCUAACACAUGCAAGUCGAACGGCAGCACAGUAAGAGCUUGCUCUUACGGGUGGCGAGUGGCGGACGGGUGAGGAAUACAUCGGAAUCUACUUUUUCGUGGGGGAUAACGUAGGGAAACUUACGCUAAUACCGCAUACGACCUACGGGUGAAAGCAGGGGAUCUUCGGACCUUGCGCGAUUGAAUGAGCCGAUGUCGGAUUAGCUAGUUGGCGGGGUAAAGGCCCACCAAGGCGACGAUCCGUAGCUGGUCUGAGAGGAUGAUCAGCCACACUGGAACUGAGACACGGUCCAGACUCCUACGGGAGGCAGCAGUGGGGAAUAUUGGACAAUGGGCGCAAGCCUGAUCCAGCCAUACCGCGUGGGUGAAGAAGGCCUUCGGGUUGUAAAGCCCUUUUGUUGGGAAAGAAAAGCAGCAGGUUAAUACCCCGCUGUUCUGACGGUACCCAAAGAAUAAGCACCGGCUAACUUCGUG